AGCGAACGCUGGCGGUAGGCUUAACACAUGCAAGUCGAACGGCAGCACACUACGAGCUUGCUGUUACGGGUUGCGAAUCGCGGAAGGGAGAGGUAAAUAACCGACUCUACUUUUUGGGGGGGGUUCACGAAGGGAAACUUAAGCUCAUACCGCAUACGAUCUAGCGGUGAAAGCAGGGGAAAUUCGGAGCUUGUGCGAAUGAACGAGCCGCUGACGGACUAGCUAGUUGGCGGGGUAAUGACCCACCAAGGCGACGAUCCGUAGCUGGUGUGAGUGGAUGAUCAGCCACACUGGAACGUAGACACGGUCCAUACUCCUACGGGAGGCAGCAGUGGGGAAUAGUGGACAGUGGGCGCAAGCCUGAUCCAGCCAUACCGCGUGGGUGAAGAAGGCCUUCGGUUUGUAAAGCCCUUUUGUUGGGAAAGAAAAGCAUCAGGUUAAUACCCCGCUGUUCUGACGGUACCCAAAGAAUAAGCACCGGCUAACUUCGUG
rnacentral:rRNA from 1 species